rnacentral:snoRNA from 1 species
AUGCCUCGUGCCUCGCUCGGCUUGUCUUUCGCUUUUCAGGUCUUGAGCUGGAUGCAACUUUUCUCAAUUUGGGUAAUGUUUGUAAGGGGCUAAAGCAAACACGGUUUCCUUUGAGUGCGAUUACAUCUGGCUCGUGCCUAUGGUGGUAUUGUAAUUAUAAACCUAGACAUUU